AUCUCAUGAUUUGGGCAUUGGGCUAGCUUUCCAUUAAACCUCUCCCAUGCUUCAAACAAUGGUUCCCCAUUUAAUUUUUAGAAGUUUACAAUCACAUCCCUCAUUU